rnacentral:rRNA from 1 species
CCUACGGGAGGCAGCAGUCGAGAAUCAUUCACAAUGGGGGAAACCCUGAUGGUGCGACGCCGCGUGGGGGAAUGAAGGUCUUCGGAUUGUAAAACCCUGUCAUGUGGGAGCAAAUUAAAAAGAUAGUACCACAAGAGGAAGAGACGGCUAACUCUGUGCCAGCAGCAGCGGUAAUACAGAGGUCUCAUGCGUGGUUCGGAAGCACUGGGCGUAAAGCGUGCGUAGGCUGUUUCGUAAGUCGUGUGUGAAAGGCGCGGGCUCAACCCGCGGACGGCACAUGAUACUGCGAGACUAGAGUAAUGGGGGGGGAACCGGAAUUCUCGGUGUAGCAGUGAAAUGCGUAGAUAUCGAGAGGAACACUCGUGGCGAAGGCGGGUUCCUGGACCUUAACUGACGCUGAGGCACGAAGGCCAGGGGAGCGAAAGGGAUUAGAUACCCCUGUAGUC